AUUGAACGCUGGCGGCAUGCUUUACACAUGCAAGUCGAACGGUAACAGGCCGCAAGGUGCUGACGAGUGGCGAACGGGUGAGUAAUGCAUCGGAACGUGCCCAGUCGUGGGGGAUAACUACUCGAAAGAGUAGCUAAUACCGCAUACGAUCUAUGGAUGAAAGCGGGGGACCGUAAGGCCUCGCGCGAUUGGAGCGGCCGAUGUCAGAUUAGGUAGUUGGUGGGGUAAAGGCUCACCAAGCCAACGAUCUGUAGCUGGUCUGAGAGGACGACCAGCCACACUGGGACUGAGACACGGCCCAGACUCCUACGGGAGGCAGCAGUGGGGAAUUUUGGUCAAUGGGCGCAAGCCUGAUCCAGCAAUGCCGCGUGCAGGAAGAAGGCCUUCGGGUUGUAAACUGCUUUUGUACGGAACGAAACGGCUCUGGUUAAUACCCGGGGCUAAUGACGGUACCGUAAGAAUAAGCACCGGCUAACUACGUG
rnacentral:rRNA from 1 species